UUACCGAAAUCGUCGGAAUUCCUCCUAAGUCAUAGAGUUGUCAGCAUGAAGUUUCUUGUUUUGAUCAUCAUGUUUAGUAGCUCGAAUUCAUGGAUUUGCAUAUUUUAUAUGAAAUCUGAAUUUGGAGCAUAAUCUACUGAUGUUAGAUAAAUCUUAAUGCUGAAGUGAGAUUUGACUUAGAAGAAAACUCGUUAAACUUACACCUGUCAUUUUUCGAAAAGUUAAAGCUGAUUUUUCUUCGUAUCACCGCUGUUAGUGCGUCGGAGCACGUGAGUACUACACAAAUACUUUUGAAAAUUUACGAAAUGUAGCUUUUAGAUAGCUCAAGUAUGAUAGAUUAUAUUUGAUGGUGUUGGUCGUCGAUUACGAAGGCUUGAUUACUGAAAAUGAUAUGAUAACAAAAAAAUUAUUUUAUUUUUAAAAGUAUUCUAACUCAACUCUAAAAUAUAUAUACAAUUUGCAUAAUUUUGUAUUUAUAUAUGCAUAUGCUAAUUAUAUAAUAUCUUAUAUAACCCUCAAAACUUCUGAAAUAUCAUACAUAUUUCUACUUUUUCUGUUUUAAAUAUAGUCCUCGUAUAUUUCUCCGUUAUUCGAAAAUAAUCUCAUUAUUAAUGCCCGUUAAGUCAUCUCUGAUUAAACUGGGGAUAAAUUUCUACCGGAAUUAAUAGAAAGUCAAAGUAUCUUUUUUGUUCCUAACUUAAGAACACAUAAGAAAAUUUGGUGAUAAUAGAAGGGUAUAUUUGAAAAAGCAAAAAAUUAAAAUAUUUCUUUUACUCCUAAUUUAAGGAUAAAUAAGAAAAGUUGGUGACAGUAAAAUAAUAUAUUUGAAAGGCAAAAUAAUAAUUUUACAGAAAUAACGAUUAUUUUUAACGGCCCACUAACAGAAUAUAACUCUAUGAAUAUAUUUCAAAAAAAUUAAAAUGCUAAAAAAAUAUUUUUUAAUUUUAGUUUAAGUCUCAAUUUUUUGAGGGAUAU
rnacentral:lncRNA from 1 species